rnacentral:lncRNA from 1 species
AUCAGCCCUCUCCGCAUCUAUCCUGAUGUGUACAUUGGAUUGCGACACCAACAUAUGGUGACCCCCGACGUGAUCCAAGAUAGGUGGCAUUAUUGGUCCACAGAAAGGAAGAAAAGAAGGAUAAUGAACAAAAGAGGGAGAAAGAGGAAAAGAAGAGGAGAGGGCAAGGUGAAGAGAGAAGAAAAAGUUAAGAAAUCGGAGAGAAGAAGAAUCAAGAUUUCAGUUGUGUGAAGGAGUGUGUUUCAAGAAAUCAGCAUGUUACAAUAAUGCUUGCCCACAAACUUGACCCCAGGAAUUCACAGUGAACAUGCAGGAGAAAUGUGUAAAUAUCUUUAAAUGUGACCUCCAGGUCCUAGAGGCCAAAUGACACUAUGCAAAGUUUAUCAACCUGGGGAACGUGAGCCAAGUGUCUCAUGAAAACAAAUAGUAAACGUAGAGUAUGUUCCAAAAUUGAGAUCAGACCAUACUGGAUAUUACUGACGAGGAAUCAAAUUGCCAUUAACUUUUAAAAUAAAACUGAAUUAACCAGUCAUUUGAAGCAACUUGGAGCAUGACUACCAGGGCAAGCAUUUAUUUUCCUCGAAUUUUGGAGGGUGUUUUGCAAAAAAAUGUGAAGAGGCCAUCUCCAUCUCCACCAAUUUUGAGCAAUCUAAUCCCUUGAAAAAUAUUUAAUCUCUCUGAAUCUGAUUUAUCCUGCCUAAUACAUAGAGCUAGUAAUACUUAUCAUAUACCACUAUUGUGAGAAUUAAGCAAAAUGAGAUGAGAAAACUAAAGCCCAAAGAAGUAAGGUAAUUUGCAUGAUGUUCCAGAGUUAAUAAGUGGUAGAGCUG